AUUGAACGCUGGCGGCAGGCUUAACACAUGCAAGUCGAGCGGGGGAAGGUAGCUUGCUACCGGACCUAGCGGCGGACGGGUGAGUAAUGCUUAGGAAUCUGCCUAUUAGUGGGGGACAACAUCUCGAAAGGGAUGCUAAUACCGCAUACGUCCUACGGGAGAAAGCAGGGGAUCUUCGGACCUUGCGCUAAUAGAUGAGCCUAAGUCGAAUUAGCUAGUUGGUGGGGUAAAGGCCUACCAAGGCGACGAUCUGUAGCGGGUCUGAGAGGAUGAUCCGCCACACUGGGACUGAGACACGGCCCAGACUCCUCCGGGAGGCAGCAGUGGGGAAUAUUGGACAAUGGGGGGAACCCUGAUCCAGCCAUGCCGCGUGUGUGAAGAAGGCCUUAUGGUUGUAAAGCACUUUAAGCGAGGAGGAGGCUACUCUAGUUAAUACCUAGAGAUAGUGGACGUUACUCGCAGAAUAAGCACCGGCUAACUCUGUGCCAGCCGCCGCCGUAAUAC
rnacentral:rRNA from 1 species